AGAAGCUAGGCUGUUGCGUACGAUGCUUUAUCAAGAGAGGACCGUCGAACCGCCAAGCAGAAAUAACUGGGGCGCCGGCCUGACGAUGGUUACCUUGUUGAAGAUUGAUACUAAUUGAAGAUGGUUUUCCGAUAGUGAAUGUGGAUUAACUCAAAUCGACCAAUAACGCUCCUUACAACCCACAGCUAUAAAGUGUUUAAUACAAUUGCGGAAAAAUUUCAGAAGAGUGACCUUCCUAGUACAAAUUCUAAAUUAAAAAAAAAAAAGAAUAGAAUUAAAAUUUAAAUUUAGAUUUUAGUUAAUUAAUUAAAAUUCGAUAAAUGAAAAGCUAGAGGGAAAAAAAUUAACAUCGAUUGUGACAAGCUGGAAAAAUGUUUAAUUAUGGUUAAUCCCGCGAAUCUACGAUAAGUUAGGAACACUGAUGCAACUUGAUGAUAAUUAUGGAGAACAGAACCCUCGGCCUUGCAAAAGUAACCAGUGAACAUGAGCUAAUUUUAAAUUUGCUCUCUGGAUUUCAAAUGUACUACAUCCCGAUUCUCGUCUGCCUCGGUUCCCUGGGGAACUGUCUCUCCGUCUGUGUCAUCUUCUGCACUAAAAUGCGUCGAACAUCCUCAAACUUUUAUCUUGCAGCCUUGGCAAUUAGCGACACAGGUUUUUUGGUGACAUUGUUCGUAGUUUGGCUGGGCAUGGUGGAAGUGAAAUUAUUUGAUAGACAAGGAUUCUGUCAGUUCUUCGUUUACUUGACAACAGUCUGCAGUUUUCUUAGUGCUUGGUUCGUCGUGGCUUUUACUGUGGAAAGAUUUGUGGCAGUGCGUUACCCUCUUCGUCUGCAGUGGAUGUGUACAGUGAAAAGGGCAAAAACUAUUCUUUUAAGUAUAACUUUGGUCGGCCUGGUAGUAUGCAGCCCAGUAUUAUUGUUUUCGAAACCACAAACAACGAACUUGUUGAACACAACAACGUGUAGUUUGGCUGCAGAAUGGCAAAAGUGGGCCAGUACUUACAAUGUUAUAGACACAGUGCUCACAUUUGUGGUUCCCUUUUGCCUGAUAGUGGUUCUGAAUGGAUUGAUUGUGAAAUCGGUCGGGAUACUUGCGAGAGUCAGAAGAACUUUGACGAUUGAGGCUGGAGUACAGCAGGGCGAUAGAGACAGGUCCAGUGGUUCACAAAGUCCUCGAGGCGUAGUGCACCAACAGAAGGUCACGAAGAUGCUUCUGAUGGUCUCAAGCGUUUUCCUCUGCUUCAACUUACCAGCUUACGUCAUAAGAAUUUAUAUAUACGUUCUUACCCAGAAGAACGAGGAAAAACAUCAUAACCUCCACCUCAUAAUAGCACAACAAAUAAGCAAUAUAUUGUUCGAUACGAAUUUUGGAAUAAACUUCGUUCUCUACUGUGCAACCGGACAAAAUUUUCGGACAAUAGUUGUUCGUGUCUUGUGUCGUCGGUGUCGAAGUAGAACUAAUAACUCAUCAUUAACACAAAGAUCUAGUCAGAGAAAUUUGUUCGUCAUGGAUUCCGACCGUUCAGGUGGAUCAAUGUAUCGUCAUCGUGCACAAACUAUCAAUGCACCUUGGACGGAAUGUCAUGAAAUGCAAUCUUUCUGAAAAUAUCGUACGAGAAAAUAUAAGGAUGGCACUCCCUCUAUGAAAAUGCAUCGGAAAAAGUAAAGAAAGCACGAAAAGUUCGACAGGUUUACCUUUUCAUCUUUGCUGGAUAAUAAGAGAUCCAGCCAUUGGUAAAUAAUUGCACCCUCUUCGGAUAAUGAUUGCGGAUUGAAACAUGGACCACAGCAUAAUAAUCCACUCAUGGCUUGAAGAGCGGAAAGCUGCAACUCUGAGCAUGUUUUUUCCUCUUCAUGUGACAUUGAAGAACUAGUUAGUGGUUUUCCGUAAGGUCCAGCCCAACUUGCAAAAAGUGUGAAAAGGUUGCGGCGCAAGUCUCUUUUUAGAAGAGUGUGACAUGUUUCAACUAAAACAAUAUAGAAGCAGGUUAAUAUAUAUUAUCGAGGGAAAAGAUAUGGAAAUUCCGAGACUGUUUUUAAAAAAGCUAAUUAUUCUAAAUGUUUAUUCAAUUAUACCAUCUUUCAUUACUUACGAGUGAAACUUUUAAUCAUCUUUCUAAUGAAAUUACAGAAGUGCAACUUAAUAUCUCUGACUGCAGGAGCCUCUUUGUCAUUUUCAUUUUCCAGAAAUAAACGUGCACCAUCCAUGUAUUCAACAAACGUUGGAUGUAAAGACUGUGUUUCUCGAUCAAGCACUGCUGGGCUGUAGAGAAAAAUACAAAUUUCUUAUCAAAUAUAAAGAUAUUUGACAUUUUUAAACUGUUAGUACCAAAGAUUAUC